rnacentral:lncRNA from 1 species
CACUAGGUCUAUUCAGGCAUAUGUAGGCAAGAAAAGAGAAUAGAUAGUAACCAGCUAUAACAUGUAACUACUACAAUGCCUGUACAAAGCUGAAAGAAACAGUAGAUAAUAGCUGAAAUUGAUGCAUGCAUGCUAUACAUAAUUAUUACCCAAUUAAACUGGUUAACCCUUUGGUUAACAAUAACUCACCGACAAAAUCCCAAGUAUCGGGGAGACGCAAGCUACAUCCCGACGGGACUGUCUACUGGGGGAGACGCUAGCUCCUGAUCCAGUUGAGAUGACUACUCCGGAGCUCAUCGUUCAAGGAGGAGCGACCUUCCUUGAACAUAAGAUGAUGUGAGUAUGAUCUGAUCUCCUUUAGAGGAUUCAAUGAAAGACAAUGCCACACUUUAACUCUAACUAGCCCUUUAUACUAGUUUUACAAUUUCAUUCUCGAUGCUAACCAAAUCUCUAGUCAUGAUGUCACCAAAUUUACUAUUGUCAUCCUCAAUAAAAUUCACAUAUUCAUAAGGUUCUAUGUCCAUAUUCUAUUGUCCAUAUGCUCUUUACAUUGACAGAAAUUCAAUUGCAUAAUGAGAAUUUCCCUAUAAUGCAUGAAUAUAAUGCAAUUCACGUAUAUAGAUAUGCUCAAUGAUAUGACAUAGACAUAAAGAGGGAUUCGAAGACUUCGGAUAGCACCACCCACCUGUAGGGAUGCCGAAAUACUAACACCAACGUCUUGAAAUGUGUAAACAACUAGUCCCCGCGACUCGCUGUAAUCGAGGCUAGAACGAUGCGUUUCCUAAUUAACGCGUCGUAGAUCCGUCGGAAUCUCAAUCCAAGCUUCCGAGCAUGUCAAACCUUCAUUCAGAAAGGAAUAAAAGAGGUUAAACUUCAGUUAUAUUCAUAUCUUCUACAACUUUGCAUUUUGACUCCAACUUGUAUAUAUUAUUAACAUAUACAUAUACUUGUUCUUACUACUAAACUUCUUAUCAAUUCUAUCCAUUAGUAACUGAGAAUUAGGGAUAAAUAACCUCACUUUUAAGAAGGAUUUUAUAUGAUCUUAACUGAGAUUUUAUCUUCCAACACUUAAUCAGAAGUAUAUAUAUAUAUGCAUAUACUCACACAUCUAUAUACUUAGAGUUAGCUUAUGGAAUUCACAAUACAGUUUUGUGAUUUCCACGAGCUCCAACUCCCACAGGACUUCCAAUUAGCAUCUCCCUGUUAUACUAAUUGAAUUUCAAUCCAUACCUAACCAUAA